AUGGACUUUUGCUGAUGAGGUAUCACUCCGCCAGAAAAGUAGAGACCUGUUUAUGUGUUUGGUGUUUCCAAAACAGGAGGCCAGGUGUCCUAAGGUGACCCCCAAGAGAAGAGUCCACAUCUUGGGUAAACCUUGUCUGGAGAUGGAUGGAAGGUUAAGAAUGCAGAGCAGCUGUCGUCACCCACGCAAGAAGAGGAAGAGCGCUUCAUGAGAGCACACACACCUCUUGCCUCUCCCACAUUCGCUCCACCUCUCUCUGCCGUUUGAAUAAAUGGAGGUGAUCGCUCCCUCCUUCCUCUUUUCAGACGGCGACUGUUUGAGUGUGCCCAUCUGGUCUUUUGUUCGCUCCUCACUUCAUUUUGAAUUCAUCCCAUUUUCUUGCCUACUGUACACGUCUUCAGCGUGAGCCAUUUCACAGACACACUCUUCAUUCAGGAGAUGUUACGACUACCGAUGGACAAGAGUAUCGGGACACUUAUUUUACAAUCAAUCCGGGAGCAAGAUUGUCGAUAAGAGCCUUAAUUCUGCAUAUUAGCAGACUAAGACACUUUGGAGUAUUCCAUGCUCCUUACUUUGUGGCAACAUUUUGUAAAAUGGAAACAGGGGUGUCAAACUCAUUUAAGCCCAGGGGCCACAAAGAGGAAAAUAUACUCCCAAGUAGGUAAAAUCACGGAAUGAUAACUUAAAAAUAUAGACAACUUCAGAUUGUUUUCUUUGUUUAAAGGGGAACAUUAUCACCAGAUCUAUGUAAGCGUCAAUAUAUAUCUUGAUGUUGCAGAAAAAAGACCAUAUGUUUUUUUAACCGAUUUCCGAACUCUAAAUGGGUGAAUUUUGGCGAAGUAAACGCCUUUCUGUUUAUCGCUCUCUUUGCGACGACGUCAGAACGUGACGUCACAUCGGUCGUCAACGCCAUGUUUCCCUACCACAUCGAGUCAAAUCAGCUCUGUUAUUUUCCGUUUUUUUGACUGUUUUCCGUACCUGAGAGAUAUCAUGCCUCGUCGGUGUGUUGUCCGAGGGUGUAACAACACGAUCAUGGACGGAUUCAAGUUGAUUUACGUAGAAUGUGCAUCAAAUAGCACGGCAUGCUAAUCGAUGCUAACAUGCUAUUUAGGCUAGCUGUGUGCAUUAUGCCUCAUUUGUAGCUAUAUUUACAUCCAGCCUUUCCCUCCAUCCACAUUUAAUGCCAAACAAACACUUACCAAUCGAUGGAUUUAAGUUGCUCCAGUGUCAAGAGAUGCGAAAGUCCCUCGUUUGGUAUUUACCGGCGAUGCUACGACAGAGAUGGCACAGAGAUGACAAGAAUGUCUGGAUAUCCUGCGACACAAAGCCGAUGCAUUCCCAACGAUAAAGUCAACGAAAUAACAAAGGUAUUGGAUGGGCAGCAAUCCACCAAACGACAACACCGCUCAGAUGUCCCUACCUUCAAAUGAUAUUGGCACAACAGAACUGCAGGUUUAACCACUAAAGUUGCCAUAGCAACAGCCCCCACCACACCGCAACAUGCUGCGUAACCGAGAGUGACCUACACUCCUGACUGAGUCUUUACAACUGCGUGCAUGUUUUUAUUUUAAAAAUUUUCAGCAGGUACAAACCUGGUCACUCUGUGGUUGUAUUUAGUUGAUAAUCAGAA